UGGGCAGUAUCUUAGGAACUGCACCGUUAAAUGUAUGAGAAAAUUCCAUAAAAAAGUCUGCCUUGAUCAUUAGUGACAGGGACAGAGGA
rfam:Jeotgalibacillus campisalis strain SF-57 contig00014, whole genome shotgun sequence.